GCUACCCUUAUUGAUUAACAUGAUCUAUCUUAAGAGAUUAUGAGAAAUAAUAAGAAAAACAAGCAAAACAUAUGCUAGAUUAAUCAUUUUAUUUCAAAAGUUUGAAAGAAAAAUGGAAAAAUGCUUCAAUUUAUAGACAUCUUUCCUAUUUCACAGAAUGAGGUCUGAUUGACUGGGGUGUGAAAUGUAACAGCCAGUGGUGUACUUCAGCUAGGACUGUCAGUCCCAAUAUUCAUGAGGAAAAACUCCUACAUAAACAAAUACAUGGGUGCAGACAUUUUGGACACCCAAAGUUGUGCAGAGAAGAAAAUGCUACCUGGCACGUGAUUGGUCAUUAAGAGAAAAGACUAGUUAUGUAUUUGACAAGUGAAAUAAAGGUGAUAAAAAUCUCAUAUCAAGACUUAGGCUCCUUUGAGAUAUGUAGGAGUUACAGGUAAAAGUUUGAAGGGAGGGAUGCACUUUGGUUAGAGAUUUUCAUUUGGUGCUGAAUGCACCUAGUUGUAAACAAAUGGAAUUUGAAAGUAAAAGUGCCGCGGCACGGUAUAUUUUUUCUGGCAUGUUUUGUUUUACAAGAUCUCGAACUUUCACGGCAAGAAAGUCAUUUGCCCAAAAUUCAAUAUAUGUAUCAGUGACAGGGGCUCAACUUUGUAUGGAAGUCUAUGGGAAAACAUUUGGUGGUGUUUGUCCUAUAGAGUAGCAAUGCAUUCUCAAGAAGGAGGAGAUUAAUGAACCCUCCCCUCUUACAAUGAACAACACAUGGACACUCUCAGGAUGAACCCUUUGCAUUCAUUAACAGUUCCAAGAAUGAGGUCUGAUUGACUGGGGUGUGAAAUGUAACAGCCAGUGGUGUACUUCAGCUAGGACUGUCAGUCCCAAUAUUCAUGAGCAAUGCAUUCUCAAGAAGGAGGAGAUUAAUGAACCCUCCCCUCUUACAAUGAACAACACAUGGACACUCUCAGGAUGAACCCUUUGCAUUCAUUAACAGUUCCAAGAAUGAGGUCUGAUUGACUGGGGUGUGAAAUGUAACAGCCAGUGGUGUACUUCAGCUAGGACUGUCAGUCCCAAUAUUCAUGAGGAAAAACUCCUACAUAAACAAAUACAUGGGUGCAGACAUUUUGGACACCCAAAGUUGUGCAGAGAAGAAAAUGCUACCUGGCACGUGAUUGGUCAUUAAGAGAAAAGACUAGUUAUGUAUUUGACAAGUGAAAUAAAGGUGAUAAAAAUCUCAUAUCAAGACUUAGGCUCCUUUGAGAUAUGUAGGAGUUACAGGUAAAAGUUUGAAGGGAGGGAUGCACUUUGGUUAGAGAUUUUCAUUUGGUGCUGAAUGCACCUAGUUGUAAACAAAUGGAAUUUGAAAGUAAAAGUGCCGCGGCACGGUAUAUUUUUUCUGGCAUGUUUUGUUUUACAAGAUCUCGAACUUUCACGGCAAGAAAGUCAUUUGCCCAAAAUUCAAUAUAUGUAUCAGUGACAGGGGCUCAACUUUGUAUGGAAGUCUAUGGGAAAACAUUUGGUGGUGUUUGUCCUAUAGAGUAGCAAUGCAUUCUCAAGAAGGAGGAGAUUAAUGAACCCUCCCCUCUUACAAUGAACAACACAUGGACACUCUCAGGAUGAACCCUUUGCAUUCAUUAACAGUUCCAAGAAUGAGGUCUGAUUGACUGGGGUGUGAAAUGUAACAGCCAGUGGUGUACUUCAGCUAGGACUGUCAGUCCCAAUAUUCAUGAGCAAUGCAUUCUCAAGAAGGAGGAGAUUAAUGAACCCUCCCCUCUUACAAUGAACAACACAUGGACACUCUCAGGAUGAACCCUUUGCAUUCAUUAACAGUUCCAAGAAUGAGGUCUGAUUGACUGGGGUGUGAAAUGUAACAGCCAGUGGUGUACUUCAGCUAGGACUGUCAGUCCCAAUAUUCAUGAGGAAAAACUCCUACAUAAACAAAUACAUGGGUGCAGACAUUUUGGACACCCAAAGUUGUGCAGAGAAGAAAAUGCUACCUGGCACGUGAUUGGUCAUUAAGAGAAAAGACUAGUUAUGUAUUUGACAAGUGAAAUAAAGGUGAUAAAAAUCUCAUAUCAAGACUUAGGCUCCUUUGAGAUAUGUAGGAGUUACAGGUAAAAGUUUGAAGGGAGGGAUGCACUUUGGUUAGAGAUUUUCAUUUGGUGCUGAAUGCACCUAGUUGUAAACAAAUGGAAUUUGAAAGUAAAAGUGCCGCGGCACGGUAUAUUUUUUCUGGCAUGUUUUGUUUUACAAGAUCUCGAACUUUCACGGCAAGAAAGUCAUUUGCCCAAAAUUCAAUAUAUGUAUCAGUGACAGGGGCUCAACUUUGUAUGGAAGUCUAUGGGAAAACAUUUGGUGGUGUUUGUCCUAUAGAGUAGCAAUGCAUUCUCAAGAAGGAGGAGAUUAAUGAACCCUCCCCUCUUACAAUGAACAACACAUGGACACUCUCAGGAUGAACCCUUUGCAUUCAUUAACAGUUCCAAGAAUGAGGUCUGAUUGACUGGGGUGUGAAAUGUAACAGCCAGUGGUGUACUUCAGCUAGGACUGUCAGUCCCAAUAUUCAUGAGGAAAAACUCCUACAUAAACAAAUACAUGGGUGCAGACAUUUUGGACACCCAAAGUUGUGCAGAGAAGAAAAUGCUACCUGGCACGUGAUUGGUCAUUAAGAGAAAAGACUAGUUAUGUAUUUGACAAGUGAAAUAAAGGUGAUAAAAAUCUCAUAUCAAGACUUAGGCUCCUUUGAGAUAUGUAGGAGUUACAGGUAAAAGUUUGAAGGGAGGGAUGCACUUUGGUUAGAGAUUUUCAUUUGGUGCUGAAUGCACCUAGUUGUAAACAAAUGGAAUUUGAAAGUAAAAGUGCCGCGGCACGGUAUAUUUUUUCUGGCAUGUUUUGUUUUACAAGAUCUCGAACUUUCACGGCAAGAAAGUCAUUUGCCCAAAAUUCAAUAUAUGUAUCAGUGACAGGGGCUCAACUUUGUAUGGAAGUCUAUGGGAAAACAUUUGGUGGUGUUUGUCCUAUAGAGUAGCAAUGCAUUCUCAAGAAGGAGGAGAUUAAUGAACCCUCCCCUCUUACAAUGAACAACACAUGGACACUCUCAGGAUGAACCCUUUGCAUUCAUUAACAGUUCCAAGAAUGAGGUCUGAUUGACUGGGGUGUGAAAUGUAACAGCCAGUGGUGUACUUCAGCUAGGACUGUCAGUCCCAAUAUUCAUGAGGAAAAACUCCUACAUAAACAAAUACAUGGGUGCAGACAUUUUGGACACCCAAAGUUGUGCAGAGAAGAAAAUGCUACCUGGCACGUGAUUGGUCAUUAAGAGAAAAGACUAGUUAUGUAUUUGACAAGUGAAAUAAAGGUGAUAAAAAUCUCAUAUCAAGACUUAGGCUCCUUUGAGAUAUGUAGGAGUUACAGGUAAAAGUUUGAAGGGAGGGAUGCACUUUGGUUAGAGAUUUUCAUUUGGUGCUGAAUGCACCUAGUUGUAAACAAAUGGAAUUUGAAAGUAAAAGUGCCGCGGCACGGUAUAUUUUUUCUGGCAUGUUUUGUUUUACAAGAUCUCGAACUUUCACGGCAAGAAAGUCAUUUGCCCAAAAUUCAAUAUAUGUAUCAGUGACAGGGGCUCAACUUUGUAUGGAAGUCUAUGGGAAAACAUUUGGUGGUGUUUGUCCUAUAGAGUAGCAAUGCAUUCUCAAGAAGGAGGAGAUUAAUGAACCCUCCCCUCUUACAAUGAACAACACAUGGACACUCUCAGGAUGAACCCUUUGCAUUCAUUAACAGUUCCAAGAAUGAGGUCUGAUUGACUGGGGUGUGAAAUGUAACAGCCAGUGGUGUACUUCAGCUAGGACUGUCAGUCCCAAUAUUCAUGAGGAAAAACUCCUACAUAAACAAAUACAUGGGUGCAGACAUUUUGGACACCCAAAGUUGUGCAGAGAAGAAAAUGCUACCUGGCACGUGAUUGGUCAUUAAGAGAAAAGACUAGUUAUGUAUUUGACAAGUGAAAUAAAGGUGAUAAAAAUCUCAUAUCAAGACUUAGGCUCCUUUGAGAUAUGUAGGAGUUACAGGUAAAAGUUUGAAGGGAGGGAUGCACUUUGGUUAGAGAUUUUCAUUUGGUGCUGAAUGCACCUAGUUGUAAACAAAUGGAAUUUGAAAGUAAAAGUGCCGCGGCACGGUAUAUUUUUUCUGGCAUGUUUUGUUUUACAAGAUCUCGAACUUUCACGGCAAGAAAGUCAUUUGCCCAAAAUUCAAUAUAUGUAUCAGUGACAGGGGCUCAACUUUGUAUGGAAGUCUAUGGGAAAACAUUUGGUGGUGUUUGUCCUAUAGAGUAGCAAUGCAUUCUCAAGAAGGAGGAGAUUAAUGAACCCUCCCCUCUUACAAUGAACAACACAUGGACACUCUCAGGAUGAACCCUUUGCAUUCAUUAACAGUUCCAAGAAUGAGGUCUGAUUGACUGGGGUGUGAAAUGUAACAGCCAGUGGUGUACUUCAGCUAGGACUGUCAGUCCCAAUAUUCAUGAGGAAAAACUCCUACAUAAACAAAUACAUGGGUGCAGACAUUUUGGACACCCAAAGUUGUGCAGAGAAGAAAAUGCUACCUGGCACGUGAUUGGUCAUUAAGAGAAAAGACUAGUUAUGUAUUUGACAAGUGAAAUAAAGGUGAUAAAAAUCUCAUAUCAAGACUUAGGCUCCUUUGAGAUAUGUAGGAGUUACAGGUAAAAGUUUGAAGGGAGGGAUGCACUUUGGUUAGAGAUUUUCAUUUGGUGCUGAAUGCACCUAGUUGUAAACAAAUGGAAUUUGAAAGUAAAAGUGCCGCGGCACGGUAUAUUUUUUCUGGCAUGUUUUGUUUUACAAGAUCUCGAACUUUCACGGCAAGAAAGUCAUUUGCCCAAAAUUCAAUAUAUGUAUCAGUGACAGGGGCUCAACUUUGUAUGGAAGUCUAUGGGAAAACAUUUGGUGGUGUUUGUCCUAUAGAGUAGCAAUGCAUUCUCAAGAAGGAGGAGAUUAAUGAACCCUCCCCUCUUACAAUGAACAACACAUGGACACUCUCAGGAUGAACCCUUUGCAUUCAUUAACAGUUCCAAGAAUGAGGUCUGAUUGACUGGGGUGUGAAAUGUAACAGCCAGUGGUGUACUUCAGCUAGGACUGUCAGUCCCAAUAUUCAUGAGCAAUGCAUUCUCAAGAAGGAGGAGAUUAAUGAACCCUCCCCUCUUACAAUGAACAACACAUGGACACUCUCAGGAUGAACCCUUUGCAUUCAUUAACAGUUCCAAGAAUGAGGUCUGAUUGACUGGGGUGUGAAAUGUAACAGCCAGUGGUGUACUUCAGCUAGGACUGUCAGUCCCAAUAUUCAUGAGGAAAAACUCCUACAUAAACAAAUACAUGGGUGCAGACAUUUUGGACACCCAAAGUUGUGCAGAGAAGAAAAUGCUACCUGGCACGUGAUUGGUCAUUAAGAGAAAAGACUAGUUAUGUAUUUGACAAGUGAAAUAAAGGUGAUAAAAAUCUCAUAUCAAGACUUAGGCUCCUUUGAGAUAUGUAGGAGUUACAGGUAAAAGUUUGAAGGGAGGGAUGCACUUUGGUUAGAGAUUUUCAUUUGGUGCUGAAUGCACCUAGUUGUAAACAAAUGGAAUUUGAAAGUAAAAGUGCCGCGGCACGGUAUAUUUUUUCUGGCAUGUUUUGUUUUACAAGAUCUCGAACUUUCACGGCAAGAAAGUCAUUUGCCCAAAAUUCAAUAUAUGUAUCAGUGACAGGGGCUCAACUUUGUAUGGAAGUCUAUGGGAAAACAUUUGGUGGUGUUUGUCCUAUAGAGUAGCAAUGCAUUCUCAAGAAGGAGGAGAUUAAUGAACCCUCCCCUCUUACAAUGAACAACACAUGGACACUCUCAGGAUGAACCCUUUGCAUUCAUUAACAGUUCCAAGAAUGAGGUCUGAUUGACUGGGGUGUGAAAUGUAACAGCCAGUGGUGUACUUCAGCUAGGACUGUCAGUCCCAAUAUUCAUGAGCAAUGCAUUCUCAAGAAGGAGGAGAUUAAUGAACCCUCCCCUCUUACAAUGAACAACACAUGGACACUCUCAGGAUGAACCCUUUGCAUUCAUUAACAGUUCCAAGAAUGAGGUCUGAUUGACUGGGGUGUGAAAUGUAACAGCCAGUGGUGUACUUCAGCUAGGACUGUCAGUCCCAAUAUUCAUGAGGAAAAACUCCUACAUAAACAAAUACAUGGGUGCAGACAUUUUGGACACCCAAAGUUGUGCAGAGAAGAAAAUGCUACCUGGCACGUGAUUGGUCAUUAAGAGAAAAGACUAGUUAUGUAUUUGACAAGUGAAAUAAAGGUGAUAAAAAUCUCAUAUCAAGACUUAGGCUCCUUUGAGAUAUGUAGGAGUUACAGGUAAAAGUUUGAAGGGAGGGAUGCACUUUGGUUAGAGAUUUUCAUUUGGUGCUGAAUGCACCUAGUUGUAAACAAAUGGAAUUUGAAAGUAAAAGUGCCGCGGCACGGUAUAUUUUUUCUGGCAUGUUUUGUUUUACAAGAUCUCGAACUUUCACGGCAAGAAAGUCAUUUGCCCAAAAUUCAAUAUAUGUAUCAGUGACAGGGGCUCAACUUUGUAUGGAAGUCUAUGGGAAAACAUUUGGUGGUGUUUGUCCUAUAGAGUAGCAAUGCAUUCUCAAGAAGGAGGAGAUUAAUGAACCCUCCCCUCUUACAAUGAACAACACAUGGACACUCUCAGGAUGAACCCUUUGCAUUCAUUAACAGUUCCAAGAAUGAGGUCUGAUUGACUGGGGUGUGAAAUGUAACAGCCAGUGGUGUACUUCAGCUAGGACUGUCAGUCCCAAUAUUCAUGAGGAAAAACUCCUACAUAAACAAAUACAUGGGUGCAGACAUUUUGGACACCCAAAGUUGUGCAGAGAAGAAAAUGCUACCUGGCACGUGAUUGGUCAUUAAGAGAAAAGACUAGUUAUGUAUUUGACAAGUGAAAUAAAGGUGAUAAAAAUCUCAUAUCAAGACUUAGGCUCCUUUGAGAUAUGUAGGAGUUACAGGUAAAAGUUUGAAGGGAGGGAUGCACUUUGGUUAGAGAUUUUCAUUUGGUGCUGAAUGCACCUAGUUGUAAACAAAUGGAAUUUGAAAGUAAAAGUGCCGCGGCACGGUAUAUUUUUUCUGGCAUGUUUUGUUUUACAAGAUCUCGAACUUUCACGGCAAGAAAGUCAUUUGCCCAAAAUUCAAUAUAUGUAUCAGUGACAGGGGCUCAACUUUGUAUGGAAGUCUAUGGGAAAACAUUUGGUGGUGUUUGUCCUAUAGAGUAGCAAUGCAUUCUCAAGAAGGAGGAGAUUAAUGAACCCUCCCCUCUUACAAUGAACAACACAUGGACACUCUCAGGAUGAACCCUUUGCAUUCAUUAACAGUUCCAAGAAUGAGGUCUGAUUGACUGGGGUGUGAAAUGUAACAGCCAGUGGUGUACUUCAGCUAGGACUGUCAGUCCCAAUAUUCAUGAGCAAUGCAUUCUCAAGAAGGAGGAGAUUAAUGAACCCUCCCCUCUUACAAUGAACAACACAUGGACACUCUCAGGAUGAACCCUUUGCAUUCAUUAACAGUUCCAAGAAUGAGGUCUGAUUGACUGGGGUGUGAAAUGUAACAGCCAGUGGUGUACUUCAGCUAGGACUGUCAGUCCCAAUAUUCAUGAGGAAAAACUCCUACAUAAACAAAUACAUGGGUGCAGACAUUUUGGACACCCAAAGUUGUGCAGAGAAGAAAAUGCUACCUGGCACGUGAUUGGUCAUUAAGAGAAAAGACUAGUUAUGUAUUUGACAAGUGAAAUAAAGGUGAUAAAAAUCUCAUAUCAAGACUUAGGCUCCUUUGAGAUAUGUAGGAGUUACAGGUAAAAGUUUGAAGGGAGGGAUGCACUUUGGUUAGAGAUUUUCAUUUGGUGCUGAAUGCACCUAGUUGUAAACAAAUGGAAUUUGAAAGUAAAAGUGCCGCGGCACGGUAUAUUUUUUCUGGCAUGUUUUGUUUUACAAGAUCUCGAACUUUCACGGCAAGAAAGUCAUUUGCCCAAAAUUCAAUAUAUGUAUCAGUGACAGGGGCUCAACUUUGUAUGGAAGUCUAUGGGAAAACAUUUGGUGGUGUUUGU